UUAGUACUUGAAACACUAUACAUUUCACCUUCUUUUUAUGCUAUUCUCCAUUUUUAUUUGUUUUAUAUGUUUCAAUACUAUGCUGUGGAUAUAAUAGUAAAAAGGAUUCCUUAGCUUGCAUCUAUGUAAUGAGAUCAAACAUUGGAUUUGAGGAGAGACACAAACACAAAUAUGACAGAAGUUGAAGCAAGAAGUUCUGUUUUUCAACCUUCAAAUCCUCUUUCAUAUAUCCAGUGAAAAUGAGGAAAGAUCCUAAGGUUGGAAGAAAUCGUGGAGGAGACUUUUAAAGUUACU